UACGGAGGGUGCAAGCGUUAAUCGGAAUUACUGGGCGUAAAGCGCACGCAGGUGGCUGAGCGAGUCGAUUGUGAAAGCCCUGGGCUUAACCUGGGAAUUGCAGUCGAUACUACUCAGCUAGAGUAUGGGAGAGGGUAGUGGAAUCCCCGGUGUAGCGGUGAAAUGCGUAGAUAUCGGAAGGAACAUCAGUGGCGAAAGCGACUUCCUGGACCAGUACCGACGUUCAGGCACGAAAGCGUGGGGAGCAAACAGG
rnacentral:rRNA from 1 species